rnacentral:rRNA from 1 species
CGCUAGUAAUCGCAGAUCAGCAACGCUGCGGUGAAUACGUUCCCGGGCCUUGUACACACCGCCCGUCAAGUCACGAAAGUUGGUAACACCCGAAGCCGAUGGCCUAACCCGUUUGGGAGGGAGUCGUCGAAGGUGGGAUUGGCGAUUGGGACUAAGUCGUAACAAGGUAGC